rnacentral:rRNA from 1 species
CCUACGGGGGGCAGCAGUGAGGAAUAUUGGUCAAUGGGCUUACGCCUGAACCAGCCAAGUCGCGUGAGGGAAGACUGCCCUAUGGGUUGUAAACCUCUUUUGUCAGGGAGCAACGCCGGCUACGUGUAGCCGGACUGAGAGUACCUGAAGAAAAAGCAUCGGCUAACUCCGUGCCAGCAGCCGCGGUAAUACGGAGGAUGCGAGCGUUAUCCGGAUUUAUUGGGUUUAAAGGGUGCGUAGGCGGAAUGCCAAGUCAGCGGUAAAAUCGCGGGGCUCAACCUCGCUCCGCCGUUGAAACUGGCGUUCUUGAGUGGGCGAGAAGUAUGCGGAAUGCGUGGUGUAGCGGUGAAAUGCAUAGAUAUCACGCAGAACUCCGAUUGCGAAGGCAGCCGCCUGGCCUGUUGACUGACGCUGAGGCACGAAAGCGUGGGGAGCAAAUAGGAUUAGAUACCCGAGUAGU